CCCUAUUAUUUUAGAAUGUUAAUUUGGGGUGCCUGAGUAGUAUUAGUUACGUUCUUGAAACUUAAAGAAUUUGGCGGUAUCUCAUUCCAUCCAGAGGAAUCUGUCCCGUUAUCGAUAGUCCGCGUUGGACCUUACUUAGUUUAAAUUUGGUUUGUAUACCGCUGUUUAUUGAUUAUCUUUUUAGAGUUUUUAAUUUUCUGGUUUCUUUAUUAUGGUUUAUUUCAGGUCAAGGUGCAGCUUGUUUCUAAGUGGAUUGAUGGAUUACAUUGUUAUUUGUUUUUGGAUUGUUGAUUUUAAUAUUGGUAUGAAAUUGGAUUUGGUUGUAAUUUCUUGUAGAUUGUUGUUGUGAUAGUUGGUUCUGAGAUAUGUACACAUCGCCCGUCGCUCUCGUUUAUUAAUGAGAUAAGUC
rnacentral:rRNA from 1 species